rnacentral:rRNA from 1 species
UACGUAGGUGGCAAGCGUUGUCCGGAUUUAUUGGGUUUAAAGGGUGCGUAGGCGGUCCUAUAAGUCAGUGCUGAAAUAUCCCGGCUUAACCGGGAGGGUGGCAUUGAUACUGAUGGGCUUGAGUAGAGUUGAGGUUGGCGGAAUUGACGGUGUAGCGGUGAAAUGCUUAGAUAUCGUCAAGAACACCUAUUGCGAAGGCAGCUAACUAAGCUCAAACUGACGCUGAGGCACGAAAGUGUGGGGAUCAAACAGG